ACGUGGGGAACCUGCCCCAUAGUCUGGGAUACCACUUGGAAACAGGUGCUAAUACCGGAUAAGAAAGCGGAUCGCAUGAUCAGCUUUUAAAAGGCGGCGUAAGCUGUCGCUAUGGGAUGGCCCCGCGGUGCAUUAGCUAGUUGGUAAGGUAAAGGCUUACCAAGGCGAUGAUGCAUAGCCGAGUUGAGAGACUGAUCGGCCACAUUGGGACUGAGACACGGCCCAAACUCCUACGGGAGGCAGCAGC
rnacentral:rRNA from 1 species